CAUCGGGACCCCUUCGUCGUUUGGGGUCUCGACCCCGCUUGGUCGUUGGGCGUCACCCCCUGUCCCCCCCGGGGA
rnacentral:tRNA from 1 species